AAAGAGAAUAACCACGAGGAAAUGGACGUGGAUUAUCCCGAACAAGAGGCCAGCAGCUCCGACGAGGAGGACUCUGUGAGCUCGACUGCGUCUGAGGAUGGAGACACUUCAGACAUGGACGAUGAAGACUGUGAAAGAAGACGAAUGGAGUGUUUAGAUGAGAUGACAAACCUUGAGAAGCAGUUCACAGACCUGAAGGAUCAGUUGUAUAAAGAGAGACUGAG